rnacentral:rRNA from 1 species
GCCUGCCCUGUGACUAUAUGUUUAACGGCCGCGGUAUUUUGACCGUGCAAAGGUAGCGCAAUCACUUGUCUUUUAAAUGGAGACCCGUAUGAAUGGCAUAACGAGGGCUUAACUGUCUCCUUUUUCAAGUCAAUGAAAUUGAUCUCCCCGUGCAGAAGCGGGGAUAAAACCAUAAGACGAGAAGACCCUAUGGAGCUUUAGACACCAAGGCAGAUCAUGUUAAGCACCCCAAAUUAAAGGGCCAAACCAGAGGAGCCCUGCCCUAAUGUCUUUGGUUGGGGCGACCGUGGGGAAACAAAAAACCCCCAUGUGGAAUGGGAAAACCCUUUCCUAAAACUAAGAGCCCCCGCUCUAAUAAACAGAAUUUCUGACCAAUCAGAUCCGGCAACGCCGAUCAACGGACCGAGUUACCCUAGGGAUAACAGCGCAAUCCUCUUUUAGAGCCCAUAUCGACAAGAGGGUUUACGACCUCGAUGUUGGAUCAGGACAUCCUAAUGGUGCAGCCGCUAU